rnacentral:lncRNA from 1 species
GUUUUUUAUUGACACACCUUAAACAUAGUUCAGUUUGCUUUAAAUCAUAACGGUCUCAAACAGAGCUAGGAUGUUCUGACCAAAAUCCAACAUUAAUAGUGUUUGGUCACAGGGAAGUUAGAUAAGCGCAUCAGACGACAGAUGAUUUGCUGUGUCGGUAAAAGUUAUGCUUUUGUGGAGCAGUUUUAGGGUCGUUUGAAAAGUCCUCGCAAAGUCUGAGAGAUGGCAAUACUGACGUGUAUCAAAGUUAUGGUUAGUUAGCAGCAUCUUUUGAAAGAAAACAUACAAUUUUUCAAUCGGAUCAGACUAUUUAUUUCUCUUUGGCAUACGUUUGAAUCUAUGAAUCCCCCAGAAAGAUUAUGGAGACUGUCAUUUGAAUUUGCAAGGAAUAAUCUUCAUUGACUAUCUAGAAACUUUACCAUUCUUCUAUCUUAUCCAAUAAAUAGGUAAAUGUUUUGUGACAUGGAGGUAGUGGUUUUUAAUCUGCUUAGUGGCCCUGCCCUAGCCUUAAUCAACACAUAGGCCUGUAGUUUAUUUCAAAGUAUUUGGAAAGGCCCUAAAUAUUUUGCAAAGUGGCGUUGGUUUUUUUAAACCUACAUUGGGUCCCUACUAUAGUCUUAAAUGACCGAUGGGCUUGUAGUUCAUUUUGAAGUAAUGGUGGCUUUGUCAUUGUAGAAAACAAGUUUUGAGCCGAAGUAUUCAGAUUUCGUUGGUAAAUGACGGUAAAUUUUUGAACAAUGAUGUAUUCAGUGCCCGUAACUAUAUUUGUCAUGACGACCCAUGUAUUCGUAUUUGUUAGUGUAUCCCAUGUUGUUAAUCAACAAAUUAUAUUUUAUAUUAUUAAAUACUUAGUUGUGAUACGAAAGAAAAAGAGGCUUACAUUUCAG